UCCCUGGUGGUCCAGUGGUCAAGACACUGUGCUUCCACUGCAGGGGGCAAAGGUUCAAUCCCUGAUUAGAGAA
rnacentral:tRNA from 1 species